GCAAGAUGGUUCGUUUAUUUUUUAUUUUUAGUUAGUUAUUUCUUAUUUCUAAAGGGAUCAUUUGAAACUAGUUAUCGCUGUUACGAAUCCAAAACCGGUAUUUAUCAUUAAUUUCAUCAAGAUUUUAAGUGUAAUUAUAACCUGCUAUACUUAUAUGCUAUGUUAUUACAGACAAAGUGCUGCAGUUCCCGUUCUUCAUACUAUCCACUGACUACGACAACUAUGCCAUCGCAUACACCUGCAAGACUUUCAAGAAGAAGCCGAGAACCCAUUACGUUUUCUCCUGGGUCUUAUCAAGAAACAAGCAAAAGUUACAAGGGGAAUCACUGAAAAAAGUAGAAGAUGUUUUGUCAAAAUACACGGAGUUGGCCGAGCAUAGACAGUCAUUUGUUUUCAAAGAACUCUCAGACGCAGAAUGUCAGUUCUCGCAAAAAUUCGAGACAGAUUUUUUUACUAGUAAUUUUUGGUAAUGUUAAAA